rnacentral:tRNA from 1 species
AGGAUAUUAGUUAAAUAAUAACAAUUAAAUUGCAUUUAAUAAUUAAAACAAAAUUUAUAUCUUA